rnacentral:lncRNA from 1 species
UCUGGGAAGCCCAGCUCCUAAAUGUCUGCUCACAUUUAAUGUGAUUGUGGAGUUCAAUUCUUAGAUACCUAACUGCUCAUGAUGUAAUGAGGAUGCUGAGACCACAGGCAUGAGUUCUUUUCAGCAUCUGGACCCCACCCAAAGGAAUAGCCUAAGGCAACGGGACCUGAAUCUGGCUAUUGUGCCAGCUUCCAGAACCCUGCUGACAGGGUUCUCUCCUUCCACUGUCAGGAUAAGAAAUAACUGAGUUCUGUCUAGUACCUGUGGUUUGUUGUGACGUUACCACGUCUUCCUUCUUGCCGUCAGUGUGGUGGAACCUUGCCCUGUAUACGCUUGGCCUUCUGCCCAGGGGCCUUCACCUUCCUUCCCUAUUGAGUUUUAGGAAACAGGGGCAGCAUUAGAGUUUAUGUUUUACCAUGCUGUGUAUAUUUGCAUCUCGUUGAGUUUCUUUAAUUUGGAGGAAGAAAACUAAUCUGUUUCCAGUUCCACCUCCAGAACUAACAAAUUAGCUCUGAAUUAGACUAACACAAGUACAAGGUGACUAAGACAUAGUACCUACUCUGUCAGAGUGUCAGUCCACUGGGGAAGACAGACAAUAGGUUUCUAAUUAGGUUACAGGUUCAGCUGCAGAGACAGAGAAGUGAGUUAAAUAAGAAGUUUCUCAUAAAACAGUCCAUCCAUAAUCUGAGAACCGGCAAGGCUGCCCUAUUCCAUGAGGUUGCUAAGAGACAAGGCUUUUCCUAUCUUGUCACACCACCAUCCCUUGAUGGUUGUCAUUGUCUACAAAGUCUAAGGCAAUUGUCAUGUUCACGCUCCAAUCAAUAGAGUAGAAGAAAUGAAGAAGAAGGAACUCACCCUCUUCUUUUAAAGUCACAGUCUGGAAAUUGCUCUGCCUCAGAUCACACUGGUCAGAAUAUAGUCACAUGGUCACAACUGUCUGCAAAGGGAAAUAAAUCCUUUAUUCUAGGGACAGCCAUAUGCUGAGCUAAAAACUAGAAAUCCUAUCUUUGCACAAAAAGGAGAAAAUGGAUAUUGAAGGAAACUAGCAUCCUAAGCAUGGGAAGUGAUUCAUGUAGAACACAGGAUAUAGAGGUGAGAGGGCCCGAGGAAGCUUAAAAAAAUAAAAAAGAAGGAGAGGUUGGGAUUGUGGCUCAGUGGUACAGCGCUCACCUAGCAUGUGUGAGGCACUGGGUUUGAUUCUCAGUACUACAUAAAAAUAAUUAAAUAAAAUUAAGGUAUAAGGAAAUAAAAGGACAAAGAACAUGUCUCAGAGCUUAAGAUUUCUAAGAUAGAGCAUUUUCACAUGACAAGGUCCAGAUGUGGCAUAGAGUGAGUGACUAGAGUAGUAAACAUAAACUUACUAAACCUGGGACUGAAUCAAAGAUUUUCCAAGCUAGAAUGUUAAGUGAUUGUUUAAAUGGACCUUGAACUUCACUUUAAUAGUAUUAUGUAUUAGAAGGGACAGAAAACUUGUGUGGAAGGUGUCAAGUCGAUGAAGAUGACUUAGGAACAAAGCACCAAGCAGCCGGCACCCGCAAAAGAAACAUUCAUCAGGCACCAACAGAACCGCCUGUCAAUCAGCGGGGUCUCCUGGCCAAUCCUGGAUUUCAGCCAGUUCCCCCAACCAACUCCAGCAGGACAAGGGACUCUAAAACCCCUUUUCCUGUCCCAAGCCCUCCCUUCCUGCCCUAAGCCCCAUAAAGUUCCAGUCCGGUUGAGCCCCCACUUGGUUUCUCCUCAGACCCUCUUCCUAUCUGCUCUGUGGGUCUGAUAGAGUUCUGACCAGGAGUGGAAUCUCAAUAAAGCCUCCUUCAACAGCCUUUUUAAAUCUGCCUCCUUUUGGUUGCCGCUGUUGCCUGACCUUACAGAAGGCUGGGUGGUUGGCCAGACAUAAGCAAUAAAGGUAAGGGAAGAGUCAAAG